GUCACGCCCGAAGUCAUUACCCCAACCGAAAGGAGGGGGAUGCCUAAGGUAGGACUGGUGACUGGGGUGAAGUCGUAACAAGGUAGCCGUACCGGAAGGUGUGGCUGGAUCACCUCCUUUUUAGGGAGACCUAAUCCAUUGAGAAAUCGAAAACAAUCAGUAAUUAGAUUCUUAAUUGGUCUAUCCUAGGUCGGUCACAAUCAUUGAAGUAUGGCUUUCAAACUAUGAUUUGGUUCAUUAAGGGCUAUUAGCUCAGGUGGUUAGAGCGCACCCCUGAUAAGGGUGAGGUCCCUGGUUCGAGUCCAGGAUGGCCCACCUGAAGAUAAUUAGUAAUUACUAAUUUUUAAUUUGUAAUCAAAAAAUUAUGAAUUAGGAAAUAAAGGAUUACAAAUUAUUGGAUGGGGGUUUAGCUCAGUUGGUAGAGCGCCCGCUUUGCAAGCAGGAUGUCAGCGGUUCGAGUCCGCUAACCUCCACAUUGGAAAAGAGACAGCAACUGACUAUUUGUCAGACUGCUGGAUUAAAACCAGCCAGAACCUUGAAAACUGCAUAGUAACGCGAAUUAGCAGGCAGACGAAACUGAGUACUGAGGAAAGAGUACCGAGCAAAGAGUUUUUCACUCAUUGUAGAGUAGGAAAGAAACAGGAAAGCAGAAAAGUUUGCGAGUCGAAAAAAUGUAAUGAAGUGGUCAAGCUAAUAAGGGCUAAUGGUGGAUACCUAGGCACACAGAGG
rnacentral:misc_RNA from 1 species